UACGGAGGGUGCAAGCGUUAUCCGGAUUUACUGGGCUUAAAGGGUGCGUAGGUGGGUCUGUAAGUCAGUGGUGAAAUCUCCGAGCUUAACUCGGAAACUGCCAUUGAUACUAUAGGUCUUGAAUUAUCUGGAGGUAAGCGGAAUAUGUCAUGUAGCGGUGAAAUGCUUAGAUAUGACAUAGAACACCAAUUGCGAAGGCAGCUGGCUACACAAAUAUUGACACUGAGGCACGAAAGCGUGGGGAGCAAACAGG
rnacentral:rRNA from 1 species